rnacentral:pre_miRNA from 1 species
AUCGGACAAGUAGUUUUUACGAAAUCAUGACUAGAGUUUCCAAAUACUAGUAAAUGGUUUCGUAAAAACCACAUGUCCGAUUUG